rnacentral:rRNA from 1 species
ACGCUGGUGGCGUGCCUAAUACAUGCAAGUAGAACGCUGAAGAGAGGAGCUUGCUCUUCUUGGAUGAGUUGCGAACGGGUGAGUAACGCGUAGGUAACCUGCCUUGUAGCGGGGGAUAACUAUUGGAAACGAUAGCUAAUACCGCAUAACAAUGGGUGACACAUGUCAUUUGUUUGAAAGGGGCAAUUGCUCCACUACAAGAUGGACCUGCGUUGUAUUAGCUAGUAGGUGAGGUAACGGCUCACCUAGGCGACGAUACAUAGCCGACCUGAGAGGGUGAUCGGCCACACUGGGACUGAGACACGGCCCAGACUCCUACGGGAGGCAGCAGUAGGGAAUCUUCGGCAAUGGGGGCAACCCUGACCGAGCAGCGCCGCGUGAGUGAAGAAGGUUUUCGGAUCGUAAAGCUCUGUUGUAAGUCAAGAACGAGUGUGAGAGUGGAAAGUUCACACUGUGACGGUAGCUUACCAGAAAGGGACGGCUAACUACGUGCCAGCAGCCGCGGUAAUACGUAGGUCCCGAGCGUUGUCCGGAUUUAUUGGGCGUAAAGCGAGCGCAGGCGGUUUGAUAAGUCUGAAGUUAAAGGCUGUGGCUCAACCAUAGUUCGCUUUGGAAACUGUCAAACUUGAGUGCAGAAGGGGAGAGUGGAAUUCCAUGUGUAGCGGUGAAAUGCGUAGAUAUAUGGAGGAACACCGGUGGCGAAAGCGGCUCUCUGGUCUGUAACUGACGCUGAGGCUCGAAAGCGUGGGGAGCGAACAGGAUUAGAUACCCUGGUAGUCCACGCCGUAAACGAUGAGUGCUAGGUGUUGGAUCCUUUCCGGGAUUCAGUGCCGCAGCUAACGCAUUAAGCACUCCGCCUGGGGAGUACGACCGCAAGGUUGAAACUCAAAGGAAUUGACGGGGGCCCGCACAA